rnacentral:rRNA from 1 species
CCCUAUUAUUUUUAUUGUAAAUUAUUAAGCCGGAAUUAUUAUGAGUUAUGGUCUUUAAAAUUAAAAAAUUUGGCGGUAUUUUAGUCUGUUCAGAGGAACCUGUUUCUUGAUCGAUGGUCCACGAUUAGUUAUACUUUAACUUUAAAUUUAUAUAUCGUCGUUAUUAAAAAUUCUAGGAGGAUAAUAAUUUUUGGAAUUCUUUAUUUAGGAAAAGUUCAGAUCAAGGUGUAGUUUAUGUUGAAGAUGAAAUGGGUUACAUUAUAUUUAUAUGUGGUUAUUGAUUUUAAAAUUUGGUAUAAAAUGGAUUUGAUAGUAAAUUUUUUUUAUGAAAUUUGAUUUAGCUCUAAAAUAUGCACACAUCGCC